rnacentral:rRNA from 1 species
GACGAACGCUGGCGGCGUGCCUAAUACAUGCAAGUAGGACGCAGUUGCGAACGGGUGAGUAACGCGUAGGUAACUACCUAUUAGAGGGGGGUAACUAUUGGAAACGAUAGCUAAUACCGCAUACUAGUAGAUGGACCUGCGUUGUAUUAGAUAGUAGGUAGGGUAAAGGCCUACCUAGGCAACGGUACAUAGCCGACCUGGGGGGGUGGUCGGCCACACUGGGACUGGGACACGGCCCAAACUCCUAAGGGAGGCAGCAAGAGGGGAUCUUUGGGAAUGGGGGGAACCCUGAACGAGCAACGCCGCGGGAGUGAAGAAGGUGUUCGGAUCGGAAAACUCUGUUGUUAAGGGAGCGGUACUUAACCAGAAAGCGACGGCUAACUACGUGCCAGCAGCCGCGGUAAUAC